rnacentral:rRNA from 1 species
UUUAAUUCGACGCAACGCGCAGAACCUUACCAGCCCUUGACAUCCCGGUCGCGGACUCCAGAGACGGAGUUCUUCAGUUCGGCUGGACCGGAGACAGGUGCUGCAUGGCUGUCGUCAGCCCGUGUCGUGAGAUGUUGGGUUAAGUCCCGCAACGAGCGCAACCCCUAUCAAUAGUUGCCAACAGGUAAUGCUGGGAACUCUAUUGAAACUGCUGCCGUAAGGCGUGAGGAAGGAGGGGAUGAUGUCAAGUCAUCAUGGCCUUUAUGCCCAGGGCUACACACGCGCUACAAUGGGGUGGACAAAGGGCUGCAACACGGUGACGUGAAGCCAAUCCCAAAAACCAUCUCUCAGUUCAGAUUGGAGUCUGCAACUCGACUCCAUGAAGCUGGAAUCGCUAGUAAUCGUAUAUCAGCAAUGAUA